GCACCCGUGGUGAAAUGGAUAUCACAGCUGGCUUCGGACCAGCCGUUGGGGGUUCGAGUCCCUCCGGGUGCACCA
rnacentral:tRNA from 1 species